UACAGAGGUCCCAAGCGUUGUUCGGAUUCAUUGGGCGUAAAGGGUGCGUAGGCGGCGCGGUAAGUCGGGUGUGAAAUCUCGGAGCUUAACUCCGAAACUGCAUUCGAUACUGCCGUGCUUGAGGACUGGAGAGGAGACUGGAAUUUACGGUGUAGCGGUGAAAUGCCGUAGAUAUCGUAAGGAAGACCAGUGGCGAAGGCGGGUCUCUGGACAGUUCCUGACGCUGAGGCACGAAGGUCAGGGGAGCAAACGGG
rnacentral:rRNA from 1 species